rnacentral:lncRNA from 1 species
UCCUUCCCUGGAAACAUCGCCCACGUGGCACCGGUGCUGACAGAGGAAUCCUCCACGAUUACUUCCAGCAGUGACGUCAUCGAGCUACUUUAAAGGAACAAGGCUCCCCUGGCAUCGGUGCAUUUGGUCUGCGGUGGUGGUGGCGAGCGGCAUCGCAGAAAUGCAACCAAGUUCUUCGAUACUUGCAGUUGCGGCUAUCCUUCCCUGGAAACAUCGCCCACGUGGCACCGGUGCUGACAGAGGAAUCCUCCACGAUUACUUCCAGCAGUGACGUCAUCGAGCUACAUUAAAGGAACAAGGCUCCCCUGGCAUCGGUGCAUUUGGUCUGCGGUGGUGGUGGCGAGCGGCAUCGCAGAAAUGCAACCAAGUUCUUCGAUACUUGCAGUUGCGGCUAUCCUUCCCUGGAAACAUCGCCCACGUGGCACCGGUGCUGACAGAGGAAUCCUCCACGAUUACUUCCAGCAGUGACGUCAUCGAGCUACUUUAAAGGAACAAGGCUCCCCUGGCAUCGGUGCAUUUGGUCUGCGGUGGUGGUGGCGAGCGGCAUC